GAUGAUGGGAUGAAGGUGAAAGCAGUAACCAUCUGCCAUCUAGACACAUCAGAAUGGGACCCAGAGCAUUUGUCCUUCCAAAUCCUCAACGUUAAGCCCGGAACCACUCCCAUCUGCCAUUUCCUUACCACUGAUGCUAUUGCCUGGGUUCCAAAACACAAAUCUGCAUGAUCAUCACUUAGCACUGUACGUGUAAUAAGCUUGGUCGGGUUGCACCCUAGGCCUGCAUAAUUAUCUCCCUACUUAUUUCUGCCUCUUCAUCAUGCGGUGUAAGAUAUAUGAUGAGAUGAAGUUUUCUCUUGUAA
rnacentral:lncRNA from 1 species